rnacentral:rRNA from 1 species
AUUGAACGCUGGCGGCAUGCCUUACACAUGCAAGUCGAACGGUAACAGGUCUUCGGAUGCUGACGAGUGGCGAACGGGUGAGUAAUACAUCGGAACGUGCCUAGUAGUGGGGGAUAACUACUCGAAAGAGUGGCUACUGCCGCAUGAGAUCUACGGAUGAAAGCAGGGGAUCGCAAGACCUUGUGCUACAAGAGCGGCCGAUGGCAGAUUAGGUUGUUGGUGGGAUAAAAGCUUACCAAGCCGACGAUCUGUAGCUGGUCUGAGAGGACGAUCAGCCACACUGGGACUGAGACACGGCCCAGACUCCUACGGGAGGCAGCAGUGGGGAAUUUUGGACAAUGGGCGCAAGCCUGAUCCAGCAAUGCCGCGUGCAGGAUGAAGGCCUUCGGGUUGUAAACUGCUUUUGUACGGAACGAAAAGCCCUGGGUUAAUACCCUGGGGUCAUGACGGUACCGUAAGAAUAAGCACCGGCUAACUACGUGCCAGCCGCCGCCGUAA